CUCUAUGGCCAUACCACCCUGAACACACCUGAUCUCAUCUGAUCUCAGAAGCUAAGCAGGGUUGGGCCUGGUUAGUACUUGGAUGGGAAAAAUGUCGAUUUUGAUG
rnacentral:rRNA from 1 species